AUUGAACGCUGGCGGCAUGCCUUACACAUGCAAGUCGAACGGCAGCACGGGUGCUUGCACCUGGUGGCGAGUGGCGAACGGGUGAGUAGUACAUCGGAACGUACCUUAUCGUGGGGGAUAACGCAGCGAAAGCUGUGCUAAUACCGCAUACGCCCUGAGGGGGAAAGCGGGGGAUCGCAAGACCUCGCGCGAUUAGAGCGGCCGAUGCCUGAUUAGCUUGUUGGUGGGGUAAAAGCCCACCAAGGCGACGAUCAGUAGCAGGUCUGAGAGGACGAUCGGCCACACUGGGACUGGGACGCGGCCCAGACUCCUACGGGAGGCAGCAGUGGGGAAUUUUGGACAAUGGGGGCAACCCUGAUCCAGCAAUGCCGCGUGAGUGAAGAAGGCCUUCGGGUUGUAAAGCUCUUUUGUCAGGGAAGAAACACCGGCUCUAACACAGUCCGGGAAUGACGGUACCUGAAGAAUAAGCACCGGCUAACUACGUGCCAGCCGCCGCGGUAA
rnacentral:rRNA from 1 species